UGCGUAGGCGGUUGGAUAAGUCUGACGUGAAAUCUCCGGGCCUAACCCCGGAAACUGCGUUGGAAACUAUUUGACUAGAGGAUUGGAAGGGAGACUGGAAUACUUGGUGUAGCAGUGAAAUGCGUAGAUAUCAAGUGGAACACCAGUGGCGAAGGCGAGUCUCUGGACAAUUCCUGACGCUGAGGCACGAAAGCCAGGGGAGCAAACG
rnacentral:rRNA from 1 species